rnacentral:rRNA from 1 species
AGGGUGUAAACGCUGCGGGCUUGGUGUUGGGGGUCCUUUGAGGGCGCCCAGUGCCGGAGAGAAGUUGUUAAGCCUGCUGCUUGGGGAGUACGUCCGCAAGGAUGAAACUUAAAGGAAUUGGCGGGGGAACACCACAAGAGGUGGAGGCUGCGGUUCAAUUGGACUCAACGCCGGAAACUCAUCGGGAGCGACAGCAGUAUGAUUGCCAGGUUGAUGACCUUGCUUGACAAGCUGAGAGGUGGUGCAUGGCGUAGUCGUGU